rnacentral:rRNA from 1 species
CUGACCUCAAAUCAGGUAGGACUACCCGCUGAACUUAAGCAUAUCAAUAAGCGGAGGAAAAGAAACUAACAAGGAUUCCCCUAGUAACUGCGAGUGAAGCGGGAAAAGCUCAAAUUUAAAAUCUGGCG